rnacentral:lncRNA from 1 species
GGGCAAUAUGGACUACUCAUAAAUACAACAAAUGCACCAUUUAUUCAAAACAUAAAUAGAAAUAAUUUAUUCAAAAUAAAUAAAUAAGUAAAAAGAAUAUAUUAUAUAUAUAUAUAUUAAUAAGUAAAAACUUACCUAGGGAUAACUUACCGAUUUACCUUCGACAAGGGCUCAUCUUUGUAGUCCCUUGAGCGGGACUCUUCUCCCAUUACUUCUUGCUUGAUGAUGGCACAUCCGUCUUGGGAGGAGUAGACGGUUGCACGUGCUUAGGCCUCCACUUUAGCAGUAUCACCUUUAGAGGUGUGGAAGUUUGUUCAACCUUCAGCUUUGGUUUCCACACCUGCUUCGGUUGUGAAGGCUUGGGGACUUCAUCCAUCUUUUCAUUCUUUUUAGGAGCUAUUUUCUUUUUUUGCUCCUUAUUAUUUUUCUUAGGAGCCGCCUUUUAUUUUGGCUCUGGCUUUUUCUUAGAUAUUUUUGUAUUUUUAAUAAGUUGAGGCUGGAUCUCAACCUGCUUGAUGCCUUGGGGGUUUGGCCCAUAGAGGAUGCGUAUCAUGUUGCACUCUUGUUGACGGCAUGGCCUGAACUCGAACUUCUCUUCUUAGCCAUUAAUAUUGAAGCGGAUUUCUCCAGCCCCAACAUCAAUCUGUGCUCCAGCCGUACUCAAGAAUGGUCUUCCCAGGAUUAGUAGUGUUUCUUUAGUGAGCUCCGUGUUGAGCACCACAAAAUCCACUAGAACAUAGUAUCCUUUGAUCUUGACAGGGAUGUCUUGAGCAAUCCCUACCAGGUACUGGACUGACGAGUCUGCCAACUGGAGUGUCAUGGUGGUUGGCUCCAAGUUGGUGAAGUUUAGCUUAUCAAAGACUGAUUUCGGCACGACGCUCACACUCGCCC